rnacentral:lncRNA from 1 species
AAAACGAAAAGCGCAGUUUAUUUUGGUUUUUAAAGAGAGUAAACGAAAAAGAUUAACAACGAGAAAAAGAAAUCAUUUGGAGCGGUUGGAUGCGUAUAACAAAGACGCACCAUUCAAUUAGCCGCAUCACCGGUGACUUGGAGGACGAGCAUUACGUCGAGCUUGCUAUUAGUUUA